GGGGAUUUAGCUCAGUGGCAUAAGCGCCUGCCUUGCAAGCAGGCAGUCGUUGGUUCAAUCCCUG
rnacentral:tRNA from 1 species